UACGUAGGAUCCAAGCGUUGUCCGGAUUUACUGGGUGUAAAGGGUGCGCAGGCGGACUUAUAAGUCAGGGGUGAAAUCUCGCUGCUCAACAGCGAAACUGCCUUUGAUACUGUAGGUCUUGAAUUAGGGAGAGAUUCGUGGAAUUCCGAGUGUAGCAGUGAAAUGUGUAGAUAUUCGGAAGAACACCAGAGGCGAAGGCAGCGAAUUGGCCCUAUAUUGACGCUCAGGCAUGAAAGCAUGGGGAUCAAACAGG
rnacentral:rRNA from 1 species